rnacentral:rRNA from 1 species
CUCACCAAGGCGACGAUCCAUAGCUGGUCUGAGAGGAUGAUCAGCCACACCGGGACUGAGACACGGCCCGGACUCCUACGGGAGGCAGCAGUGGGGAAUAUUGCGCAAUGGGCGAAAGCCUGACGCAGCCAUGCCGCGUGUGUGAAGAAGGCCUUCGGGUUGUAAAGCAC